rnacentral:rRNA from 1 species
UGGGGUGACUGCGUACCUUUUGUAUAAUGGGUCAGCGACUUAUAUUCUGUAGCAAGGUUAACCGAAUAGGGGAGCCGGAGGGAAACCGAGUCUUAACCGGGCGUUAAGUUGCAGGGUAUAGACCCGAAACCCGGUGAUCUAGCCAUGGGCAGGUUGAAGGUUGGGUAACACUAACUGGAGGACCGAACCGACUAAUGUUGAAAAAUUAGCGGAUGACCUGUGGCUGGGGGUGAAAGGCCAAUCAAACCGGGAGAUAGCUGGUUCUCCCCGAAAGCUAUUUAGGUAGCGCCUCGUGAAUUCAUCUCCGGGGGUAGAGCACUGUUUCGGCUAGGGGGCCAUCCCGGCUUACCAACCCGAUGCAAACUGCGAAUACCGGAGAAUGUUAUCACGGGAGACACACGGCGGGUGCUAACGUCCGUCGUGAAGAGGGAAACAACCCAGACCGCCAGCUAAGGUCCCAAAGUCAUGGUUAAGUGGGAAACGAUGUGGGAAGGCCCAGACAGCCAGGAUGUUGGCUUAGAAGCAGCCAUCAUUUAAAGAAAGCGUAAUAGCUCACUGGUCGAGUCGGCCUGCGCGGAAGAUGUAACGGGGCUAAACCAUGCACCGAAGCUGCGGCAGCGACGCUUAUGCGUUGUUGGGUAGGGGAGCGUUCUGUAAGCCUGUGAAGGUGGCCUGUGA